ensembl:snRNA U6 U6 spliceosomal RNA
GUGCUUGCUUUGGCACAUAUACUAAAAUUGGAAAGAUACAGAGAAGAUUAGCAUGGCCCCUGCACAAGGAUGACAUGCAAAUUCACGAAGCGUUACAUUUUUUU